AGAGCGAACGCUGGCGGCAGGCCUAAUACAUGCAAGUCGAACGGACCCUUCGGGGUUAGUGGCGGACGGGUGAGUAACACGUGGGAACGUGCCCUUUGGUUCGGAACAACUCAGGGAAACUUGAGCUAAUACCGAAUGUGCCCCCAUCCUUAAACAAGAUGGGUGGGAAAGAUUUAUCGCCAUUGGAGCGGCCCGCGUCUGAUUAGCUAGUUGGUGAGGUAAAGGCUCACCAAGGCGACGAUCAGUAGCUGGUCUGAGAGGAUGAUCAGCCACACUGGGACUGAGACACGGCCCAGACUCCUACGGGAGGCAGCAGUAGGGAAUCUUGCGCAAUGGGCGAAAGCCUGACGCAGCCAUGCCGCGUGAAUGAUGAAGGUCUUAGGAUUGUAAAAUUCUUUCAGCGGGGACGAUAAUGACGGUACCCGCAGAAGAAGCCCGGCUAACUCGUGCCAGCAGCCGC
rnacentral:rRNA from 1 species